GCAAAUUUGAAAAAAAAUUGAAAAAAAUGAAAAUUAAGGAUUUUGUUUCCAUGGUUACAAUAUUAUAAGACAAACUUACCAAUAACUUUUUUGCCUCAUUUGUAAGAUGGGAUGAUGGUGUUUCUAAAUUUAUUAUGUACGUUAAUAUAGGUGACCGCAAAAAAAUAUGGUGACCAUUCAAAAGUGUCCUCAAAAGUGUGUUUUUUUACCUUGUGUGACCCACCUGAAAAGGGGGAUAUAUGUGUCUAUGAUUUUAAAUUGUUAUCAACAUAUAAGUUGUUUAAAUAAAAUAUCAAUAUGCAUAUAUUUAAUAAAAUCAUGAAGAUUUAUCUCUUUCUUAUUUUUUUUUAUAUGAAAUAUUACAUUGAAAAUAGCCUUUUUCAGGUCAAAAUAUGGAUUUUCAAUAGGUGUAAAAUUUGUCAUUGGUUGCUAUGGCAACCGUAAUGCAUAGCAACCAAAAUUUUGCUAUUUUUUGUUUUUUUCAUUAAGUCUAGUAAGUGUGUGAAGUUUGAAGAAAAUCCAUGACCAUGUGUGCCACACUCCCUAUAUCAGAGUUAAAAUAGUUACAGAGAACCAGUAUUAAAUG
rnacentral:lncRNA from 1 species